rnacentral:rRNA from 1 species
UGGGGAAUCUUGGACAAUGGGCGCAAGCCUGAUCCAGCCAUGCCGCGUGGAUGAUGAAGGCCUUAGGGUUGUAAAAUCCUUUCGUUGGGGACGAUAAUGACGGUACCCAAAGAAGAAGCUCCGGCUAACUUCGUGCCAGCAGCCGCGGUAAUACGAAGGGGGCUAGCGUUGUUCGGAUUUACUGGGCGUAAAGCGCGUGUAGGCGGGCUGGAAAGUUGGGGGUGAAAUCCCGAGGCUCAACCUCGGAACUGCCUCCAAAACUUCCAGCCUGGACUCAAGUAGAGGCAAGUGGAAUUGCGAGUGUAGAGGUGAAAUUCGUAGAUAUUCGCAGGAACACCAGUGGCGAAGGCGACUUGCUGGACUUGUAGUGACGCUGAGACGCGAAAGCGUGGGGAGCAAACAGGAUUAGAUACCCCCGUAGUCC